CCCCCUCUGCCUGUGUCUCUGCCUCUCUCUCUCUGUGUCUCUCAUGAAUAAAUGAAUAAAUUCUUAAAAAAAAAAAAAAGGACACCAGGGAGCUGGAGGCAGCGCUGCACCAGGCCUCAAGCCUCCUGGGUGCUGACCAGGGCAGCUCCUUGCACCUUGCCGCCCCCACCACCCCCAGGGGCAUUUUGAGCACAGCUGCCCUUUCUUCCCCGCAUGGCCUGUUCAGGGAUCGGUGCAAGAGGAGCGGUCCCGGCUGCCGAUGGCCCUGUGUCCUUCCCGUGAGCACAGCAGCCCGGGCCCCAGUGGCGUGGCUCCUCCCUGUAGCCUGGAGAGGAACGUCUGCCCCCACGCCCUGCUCCCUGCCAAGCCAGCCCAGAUCAGCGGCAGACUCGAGUGGGGGCCAAGGACCAGCCUUGUGGCCGCAGCCCUGUGGCAGGGUGGCCGGGGUCCCUGCCCCAGCUGCCAGCAGAGCCGCUGCUUCAGGACGGGGCCCGGAACCCCCUGCCCCGGGUCUCGCCGAAGCCGCACCUGGAGGCUCGUUCCCUGGUCCAGGCUCUCCUUUCUGCUCCCCCUGCGACACCCAAAGCCAAUCAGGAGACCAGGGUGAAGCAAGUCAUUGCUCCCCUGUGGGUGCAGGGCUGCUCCAUCCCCGUCAGCUCCGCGGCGCCCCCGAGUCCCGCCCGGGCCAGCCUGGGUGCACCGGCCAGCCGCGCCGCUCGGGUGCACGGACACCCUACCACUUGAGCAGGAGAUCGGGCGGAGGGAGUUGCUCCCCGGACCAGAGGGUGGGAGAAGCGACUGUUUUAGGGGCUCCGUUUCUGGAAUGCCACACCGGCACAGAUUCCCCUCCCAGGCCUUCCCCUCUGCCCCCAAAGACCCUCAAGACCCUGCUCUCUGCUCCCCACUCUCAGGCAUAUCCAGGCCCGCGUCCACCUGCCUGCGCCCUCCGUGGCCGUCCUCACCCAUGCUCGGCACGGAGAGGCCUGACUUCCCGUCGCCGGCUCUCUCAGGUGUGGCUGUGUGUCCUGAGACGGGCGCUAAGCCUCUCUGGGUCUUGUUUCUCCCCGGCUCAGGGACGAGGAUGCAGGGACCUGGGGCAGGUGGCAGGUACCAGCUACUCAAAGUUAGCAGCUGUGUUUUUGUUACUGGCGACCAGAGGGGUGGCUCAUGGGGCCCCUUCCAAAGCCCACGCCUGGCCUAGAUUCUCCGUGGCCAGCCAGAUGGGAGAGGACAAGGAUCGAUCCACAAACAUCGAUUGAACCAAUUUGGGGCCAAGCCGUGUUGCGGGCAGACAGCAGCUGGCAGAGUGCCUGGCCCGUGAGACGUGUCCAAAAAAGUAAGUGUGGAGAGAGGGAAGGGGUGGCGCUGUGAGCGUGGACGGCGCACGUCUCCGGCCCCCCAGGAACUUACGGUCUCACCAGGACCCCGAAGUGGGUUCUGACUCCGGCUCUGCCUCUGGCGGCUCCGGGCCUUCUUGUUUGUCUCUCAGUCACAUCGGGAGCUCUGUGACCUUGAAGACCAUUUCCUGCUGGGAUAUUAAUACCACCACUAAUAAUAACGGUCGCCGUCGAGGCCGGAGCUCCCAGACUAAUAUUAGCUGCACCUGUUGAGCGAUCGGCACGUGCCAGGCCCUCUGCACAUGUUCUGACGUCAUUCCCCGCGAGCCCUCCCCUGCUCCCUGAGCUGGACUCAUCAUCCCCUGUUGACAACCCAGGGAUGGACGCUCUGUGCCUGCCCAGGGUCCUGGAGCCGGAACAGGGCUCACGGCCGUGUCGGUCAGGGCUUGGAGGAUGGCAAAGACCGGAGGGCAACUCUGGGGUUCCCUUCUUCUUCUCUCCAUAUCCGCCCUGCACCCCAGCCCUGGUCCUCAUGGAUGCAGCUGCUAUACCAUUACGUCCUCUGGGAUUCUCUCCGGAUCUCCUUUCUGGCUCUCCUCUGCCCCUUUUUGCUUCCUGCUUUCCGACCCAAGGUCUGCAGCCUGGGGCCUCUCUCGGCCCCUGCCAGGCCCCCUGCCCUGGCCCCCGGCCCCCAUCUGCCUUUGUUCCUGCGGCCUGAUGGUCAGACCCCCCCCCCCCCCACCGCCCCUCGUCUGUUCAGCUGCAGACCAGGGGCACUCUCUCUUCAACCUGGAGUCCUCAAACUCGGCCUCGAGGCCCUGUUGCACUAUUAAAAUUAUCAGAGACUUGAAAGAGCUUCUGUUUAUGUGGUUGUAGCUACGGAUAUUUACCGUAUUAGAAAUUAAAGCUGAGAAAUCGUAAAAUACUUAUUCUCGGAGAACAAGACCAAACCACUGCAUAUUAGCAUCAUACAUUUUCAUGAAAAAUAGCUAUUUUCUAAAACGAAAGGAACAUCACUUUACGUUUUGCAGAUCGCUUUAAUGACUCACCUCAGAGAAGACAGCUGGGUUCUCAUGUCUGCUUUUGGAUUUAAUUUGUCGAUACCUCUGGAAAACCUCUCUGUGCAUUUGUUUACGAAAGAAAGAGAGUACACAAGGCAAACAAUGCCUUCUCACUUUGCAGGGCCUCUGGAAGAACCGGUGUCCUAGACUGUCCCUGAUGUGGCCCUUGCGGGGACUCCUCUCGGCUGGCUCCUCCUCAACCUGACAGAUGCCGGAGGAUCCCGGCAGCCGGCCGAGGGCAGGACACGGGAUCUAAGAGUGCGGUGAUUCUUGCAGAUGGAGCUGGAUCCGUGGGACCUGGGAGAGCCAGUGGGGCUUCUAGUAGCUUCCUGAGGACACAGGAGGCUGACGCUCUACAGGGCGGUGUGAUCUUCUGGACCUAAGGAAGCCAUUGCAGCUUGUAAGAGAGCCCAGACUGACCGCUCCGAGCAGGGUGGGCCUGCUCAGGCCUGCUCCAGGGUCAGUGCCCUCGCGGAUGGAGGCUCUGCAGCCAGCUGCUCAUUAUCUGUGGCUCCUCUGAGGGUACCUUGCCAGCUCCCAAACAGGAAACAUGUCCAGAAAGCUGUAAUUAGAGCCAGGAGCCACAGGCCCAAGAGGUGCCUGCUGCAGCUUCAAGUGCAGACAUGCUGCUUUGGUUAAGUCCCCGGGAGAGAACCCAAACCCUGGAAAGGAGGAAGCAUCCGCUGUUGUGCAGGAGAGGAGCCCAGAGGCCCUGAAAUGUCGCAUGACUCACUCAAGGUCAUCCUGCCAAAGCAGAGGUGCACAGAAUUUCAGGAGGCCCUCUGUCUCAGGACCGCGCAGCCUGGCUGGGCCCGCAGCAUCUCGGUGAAGCAGGCGGGCAACCGGCCGCAGUGAGGAAGAGACAGAGCUGGGAUUUGAACUGGGCUCUGUCUGAGUCUAAGCUCCUGUGUCCUUCUGAUCUUCCCACCCAGGAAGACCGCGCUCAAGAGGAUCGGGUGACCUGCCUGAGACCACAGUCACCACGCAGGCAGGCAGGGAGACCCAGGCUUCUCUCUCAGCAUCGCCUCCACGGGCGUGAGCAUCCCUGUUUCCUGAGGGCCACACUGGUGCCCUCUCGGGGUAGGGGGCAUGCCUAGGGAGCCGGGGUGUGCCGGCCACCGCACUAAGCUGUCACUUCCUCGAGGCCGGGGCUUUCUGUGCGCCCCCACUCCCAGCUCAGAGCCUGGAGACUGCCUGGGGUACUGACACCUGGGACAGGCUCGUUGAUCGAAUCAAUGAAGGAGUGAGUGAGUGACUCCAGGGGAUGAGGAGUGACCCGGUAAGGAGGCCAGGUGAGCACUGAAGGCCCCAGGUGAGCGGAGCACUGCCUUUCACCUGGCUGGCUCUCUGUUUAUUUAUUCCAGGGGAAAAAAAAAAUAAAAAUAGAA